rnacentral:rRNA from 1 species
UCCGGCGGGGGCUAGCGUUGUUCGGAAUUACUGGGCGUAAAGCGCGCGUAGGCGGCUUUGUAAGUUAGAGGUGAAAGCCCGGAGCUCAACUCCGGAACUGCCUUUAAGACUGCAUCGCUAGAACGUCGGAGAGGUAAGUGGAAUUCCGAGUGUAGAGGUGAAAUUCGUAGAUAUUCGGAAGAACACCAGUGGCGAAGGCGACUUACUGGACGACUGUUGACGCUGAGGUGCGAAAGCGUGGGGAGCAAACAGG